GAGUUUGAUCAUGGCUCAGAACGAACGCUGGCGGCAGGCUUAACACAUGCAAGUCGAACGCGUGUAGCAAUACACGAGUGGCGCACGGGUGAGUAACGCGUGGAUAUCUGCCUUUUGGUUCGGAAUAACCCCGGGAAACUGGGGCUAAUACCGGAUGGUUCCUACGGGAUAAAGAUUUAUCGCCAAAAGAUGAGUCCGCGUACGAUUAGCUAGUUGGUGAGGUAAUGGCUCACCAAGGCGACGAUCGUUAGCUGGUCUGAGAGGACGAUCAGCCACACUGGGACUGAGACACGGCCCAGACUCCUACGGGAGGCAGCAGUGGGGAAUAUUGGACAAUGGGGGCAACCCUGAUCCAGCCAUGCCGCGUGAGUGAUGAAGGCCUUCGGGUUG
rnacentral:rRNA from 1 species